UACGUAGGGGGCGAGCGUUGUUCGGAAUUACUGGGCGUAAAGCGCGCGUAGGCGGCUUUGUAAGUUAGAGGUGAAAGCCCGGGGCUCAACCCCGGAACUGCCUUUAAAACUGCAUCGCUUGAAUCCGGGAGAGGUGAGUGGAAUUCCGAGUGUAGAGGUGAAAUUCGUAGAUAUUCGGAAGAACACCAGUGGCGAAGGCGGCUCACUGGACCGGUAUUGACGCUGAGGUGCGAAAGCGUGGGGAGCAAACAGGG
rnacentral:rRNA from 1 species